ensembl:lncRNA
CUUCACCAUUCACCACGAACCAACGAGAGACGAACGAGAGAGAAGUGAAACGUGGAAUCAGCUUCAACCCUGGAACGUGCCACCUACCGAAGUACUCAGAUGACUCCUCCAUCGUGGGCUGCAUCAGUGAGGACAGGGAGGAAGAGUUCAGCGGUGUGGUGGAGGGCUUCGUCAGAUGGUCCGAGGAGAACCACCUCCAGCUCAACAUCGGCAAGACCAAGGAGCUGAUGGUGGACUUCUGACAGAGCAGGAAGCCCCCAACCCCCAUUACCAUCCUGGGGUUGAGGUAGAGACAGUGGACUUGUACAAGUUCCUUGGAGUGAGCAUAAACAAUAAACGGGACUGGAUGGACAACAACGAGGCCAUCUAUCGGAAGAAUCUGAGCAGACUCUUUAUCCCAAGGAGGCUCAGAUCCUUUGACGUGUGUGGCAGGCUACUAAAGAUGUUUUAUCAGUCUGUGGUAGCCAGCACACUGUUCUUUGCUGGGGCGUGCUGGGGAGGUGGCAUCAAGGCUGGGGAGUCCAACAGACUCAACAAGCUGGUGAGGAAGGCCAGCUCUGUUGUGGGGCUAGAACUGGACAGUCUUGAGGUAGUGGUGGAGAGGAGGAUGAAGGACAAAUUCAAGUCCAUCGUUGAUAACCAUCCCAUCCCCUCUAUGCUGAGCUGUGCCAGAUGGGGAGCACCUUUAGCCACAAAUUAAUUUCCCCCAGCGGAGCGCUUCAGGUGCAGACAGCCGAUAGUCUGUACAACAGCGCCUGAUGUAUGUAUGUAUGUAUGUAUGUAUGUAUGUAUGUAUGUAUGUAUGUAUGUAUGUAUGUAUGUAUGUAUGUAUGUAUGUAUGUAUGUAUGUAUGUAUGUAUGUACUGUGUGUGUGUGUGUGUGUGUGUGUGUGUGUGUGUGUGUGUGUGUGUGUGUGUGUGUGUGCGUGUGUGUGUGUGUUCUUCAUCACUGGGCCACUUCUCUUUGUUUACAUUUGCAUUCAUACACUUUAAUAAACAGUGAAGUACUAUACUUAACCACUUUGUAUUGUAUAAUUGAUAUUACUUAUACCGUUUUGUUUGCCCUGUUUGCCUGUUUGUUACUUUAGCGUCUAUUUUUGUUUUCAUAAGUACUUUUUAUUUUUAUUGUAUUGUAUCUAAUACUGUGUUUUCCACUGCUGCCGGGCUCUUGUAACAAAGGAAUUUUCCCUCCG